rnacentral:lncRNA from 1 species
GAAAGCAGCCGUUGGGAGCCCAGGAGGCGGGGCGCCUGUGGGAGCCGUGGAGGGAACUUUCCCAGUCCCCGAGGCGGAUCCGGUGUUGCAUCCUUGGAGCGAGCUGAGAGCUCGAGUACAGAACCUGCUAAGGCCAUCAAACCUAUUGAUCGGAAGUCAGUCCAUCAGAUUUGCUCUGGGCCGGUGGUACCGAGUCUAAGCACUGCGGUGAAGGAGUUAGUAGAAAACAGUCUGGAUGCUGGUGCCACUAAUAUUGAUCUAAAGCUUAAGGACUAUGGAGUGGAUCUCAUUGAAGUUUCAGGCAAUGGAUGUGGGGUAGAAGAAGAAAACUUCGAAGGCUUAACUCUGAAACAUCACACAUCUAAGAUUCAAGAGUUUGCCGACCUACCUCAGGUUGAAACUUUUGGCUUUCGGGGGGAAGCUCUGAGCUCACUUUGUGCACUGAGAUGCCAGACCUUAGAUUUUAUGAUGACUCCUCAACCGUUUAGAUCUCGGUUAUCUCAGAGGGAUCAUCAGCUUUUUAAGAAAAUUUUGAGAGAAAAGCAAGUGAAGAAAAGAGUAGUCAGUGCCCAACAUCACGGAUCUCUCACUGAACACACCAUGCCUGGUAUUCUCUCACAGUGAUGUCACCAUUUCUACCUGCCAUGUAUCGGCGAAGGUUGGGACUCGACUGGUGUUUGAUCACUAUGGGAAAAUCAUCCAGAAAACCCCCUACCCCCACCCCAGAGGGAUGACAGUCAGUGUGAAGCAGUUAUUUUCUACGCUACCUGUGCACCAUAAAGAAUUUCAAAGGAAUAUUAAGAAGAAACGUGCCUGCUUCCCCUUCGCCUUCUGCCGUGAUUGUCAGUUUCCUGAGGCCUCCCCAGCCAUGCUUCCUGUACAGCCUGCAGAACUGACUCCUAGAAGUACCCCACCCCACCCCUGCUCCUUGGAGGACAACGUGAUCACUGUAUUCAGCUCUGUCAAGAAUGGUCCAGGUUCUUCUAGAUGAUCUGCACAAAUGGCUCCUCUCCUCCUUCCUGAUGUCUGCCAUUAGCACUGGAAUAAAGUUCCUGCUGAAAAUCCA